rnacentral:rRNA from 1 species
ACGGGCGGCCGUAGCGCGGUGGUCCCACCUGACCCCAUGCCGAACUCAGAAGUGAAACGCCGUAGCGCCGAUGGUAGUGUGGGGUCUCCCCAUGCGAGAGUAGGGAACUGCCAGGC